rnacentral:rRNA from 1 species
GAUGAACGCUGGCGGCGUGCCUAAUACAUGCAAGUCGAGCGAACGGACGAGAAGCUUGCUUCUCUGAUGUUAGCGGCGGACGGGUGAGUAACACGUGGAUAACCUACCUAUAAGACUGGGAUAACUUCGGGAAACCGGAGCUAAUACCGGAUGAUAUUUUGAACCGCAUGGUUCAAAAGUGAAAGACGGUCUUGCUGUCACUUAUAGAUGGAUCCGUGCUGCAUUAGCUAGUUGGUAAGGUAACGGCUUACCAAGGCAACGAUGCAUAGCCGACCUGAGAGGGUGAUCGGCCACACUGGAACUUAGACACGGUCCAGACUCCUACGGGAGGCAGCAGUAGGGAAUCUUCCGCAAAGGGCGAAAGCCUGACGGUGCAACGCCUCGUGAGUGAUGAAGGUCUUCGGAUCGUAAAACUCUGUUAUUAGGGAAGAACAUAUGUGUAAGUAACUGUGCACAUCUUGACGGUACCUAAUCAGAAAGCCACGGCUAACUACGUG